UCGAUUGAUCAGCUUAAAAGCCGCUGAUGUGGUCAGUGAGUCCACUGAGCUGAGUGACACAGCUUUGCAGUUUGCUGACAGCAAGCACGUAGCAACUUGCCAAGUAUUUUUAGGGGUGGAGACUGUUUUCUGUACCUCGGUAGAACGGCACAGGGAGCCAGAGCGAGCUGUCAGAGGCGGCCUGCGUCUCCUGCAGGAUGGCCGGGGUGAGCACAGGUGACCCUUGCAGUGGCCCCACGCCAGGGCCGCCUGGAGGCGGGAGAGCAUGGGCCAUCCAGGCCUCUGCAGGGGCGGCCUUGCUGUCGUGUGGACCCGGGCCCCACUGUCUGCAUGUUCGCGUCUCAGGUCAGAGCCCCGAAGGCCGUCCCGGCGGAGCGUGGGGAGGAGAUGAGCCCCGGCAGGUCCCUCCUUCGGUCACUUGUCUUGCGGUGGCCACAGCUCCCCGGGGGAGGCGACGGACGUUGGCCCGGAGCUGUGGGUGGGGCGUUGUGGUGUCCAGCUUAGGGCCCGAACCUGUCGAGCCGGGCGCUGCUGGUGUAGUCUGCGCUGCCUCGGUGGACGGACAGACGGCCAAUCCUGGGCCACCGGCCGUGGCAGCCUGGACGCCAGGCCUCACCGGGAGCACAGCCCGGCGGCACUCUGGGACGGGCUGCAUCCCUCAGCGCUGACAACCAGCGGCCUCCUUGGCCCUUCCUGCCUGCCAGCUUUUCCACUUAAUGAUAGGAGAUUUUAUUUAUUUACUCACGAGAGACUCGGAGAGAGGCAGAGACACGGGCAGAGAGAGAAGCAGGCUCCUUGCAGGGAGCCCGACGCGAAACUCGAUCCCAGGACCCCAGAGUCACGCAGACGCUCAGCUGCCGAGCCCCCCAGGCGCCCCUCCCGCCCGCACUCUCAGCGUUCCGCAGGCCCCGGCACGGGGUGGGGCUCGCCGCUGCUGGGGCCAGGAUCUCCUGACCAGCCCUCUGCUGAAGCAGCCUCGUGCCUGGGGUCGAAGCGACGGCAGAGGCGGACGAGGUGUGCCAGGGCUGGGGAGGGACGCACUGGCCGACACGUGCUCGCUGUGGAGGGAGUGACAGGAGCCUUGCGUUCCUACAUUGUUCUCUUCGCUUUUAUACAAGUAAACAUUUCUUAGGAUAAAAAAUGUGUUCAAGGACGGACCAGACUAAACAUACAGAGGAAAAUGGCUAUGAGCACACUGCCAGGAGGAUCUUUAAUUCCAGGGUCAAAUUUGGGGAAAUUUGGGACUUUCCUUUGUCAGCUUGCAUGGCUGGGGCACAAAUCCCAGCCUCGGGCCAGCAGUGCUUCUGCACUGGGCUGGGUGGUGGAGGCGCAGACCUAACGCAGAGUCACACCAGGAGCACGGGCCUCAAGCUGGGUGCAGGUGAUUCUGGCGUCUGGCGGAAGACGCCUCAUCCAAAUCCAUGUCUGCUCCUGCAGAAAACUUUCCACCAUAACGGCCAGUCGGCAGCGAUGGGUGGCCAGACACAGAGUGAGAGCCACCGGAAGCAGGCCAGAGUAGCCCUUGGCAGAGCUCCAGACGUGGGGGUCUCCACAACCUUUAAAACGUAAGACUGUCAAGUCCAGGAAUCCACGGUUGACCUCCAGGACAACAGGAGAGGAAGCGGUGAUGUAGCGACUUCAGGGCAGUGCUGUGGACGGUCCACACUGGCUGCCCUGCUCCCCGGGCCCUGGUCGCACUGCUGCAGGAGCGCCUACGGUGUGGCCAGUGUGCUUGAGCAGCUGCAUUUUUGAUUUAUAUAAUUUUGAUUACAUUUAAAUAUCCCAUGUGGCUAGUGGCUACCAUAGUGGAUGCUUUGCAAAAUUAAGAUAUACAACAGCUAAAACAAAAAAAUCCCAUGGAUGGGGUGCUGGGUGGCUCAGUCAGUGCAGCAUCUGCCUUCAGCUCCGGUUGUGACCUUGGGGUCCUGGGAUCGAGUCCUGCAUUGGGACUCCCUGCUUCUCCCCCUGCCUCUGCCCCACCUCCUGCUUGUGCACGCUCACUCUCUCUCAAA